rnacentral:rRNA from 1 species
UGGUUGAUCCUGCCAGUAAUCAUAUGCUUGUCUUAAAGAUUAAGCCAUGCAUGUCUAAGUAUAAGCAAUUAUAUGGCGAAACUGCGAAUGGCUCAUUAAAUCAGUUAUAGUUUAUUUGAUAGUACCUUACUACUUGGAUAACCGUAGUAAUUCUAGAGCUAAUACAUGCUAAAAAUCCCUUCACGGGGAUGUAUUUAUUAGAUAAAAAACCAAUGCAGGGGGCAACUCCUGGUCCAUUGAUGAUUCAUAAUAACUUCGCGAAUCGCAUGGCCUCGUGCCGGCGAUGAUUCAUUCAAAUUUCUGCCCUAUCAACUUUCGAUGGUAGUGUAGUGGACUACCAUGGUUGUAACGGGUGACGGAGAAUUAGGGUUCGGUUCCGGAGAGGGAGCCUGAGAGAUGGCUACCACUUCCAAGGAAGGCAGCAGGCGCGCAAAUUACCCAAUAUCAAUACGAUGAGGUAGUGACAAUAAAUAACAAUACGGGUCCCGACAAGGGUCUCGUAAUUGGAAUGAGUACAAUUUAAAUCCCUUAACGAGGAACAAUUGGAGGGCAAGUCUGGUGCCAGCAGCCGCGGUAAUUCCAGCUCCAAUAGCGUAUAUUAAAGUUGUUGCAGUUAAAAAGCUCGUAGUUGGAUUUUGGGAUACGAUGGGCCCGGUCUGCCGGGAUGGUGUGUACUGGCUCAUCUAUCCUUCCUUCCGGUUUGCUACUUCCUGCUCUUAACUGAGUGGGGAGCCAGCUCCGGAUCGUUUACUUUGAAAAAAUUAGAGUGUUUAAAGCAGGCCUAACCAAGUGCCUUGAAUACUACAGCAUGGGAUAAUAGAAUAGGACUCUGUACCUAUUUUGUUGGUUUCUAGGUGUGGAGUGAUGAUUAAUAGAGAUAGUUGGGGGUAUUCAUAUUUAAUUGUCAGAGGUGAAACUCUUGGAUUUAUGAAAGAUGAACUUCUGCGAAAGCAUUUAUCAAGGAUGUUUUCAUUAAUCAAGAACGAAAGUUAGGGGAUCGAAGACGAUCAGAUACCGUCGUAGUCUUAACCAUAAACUUUGCCGACCAGGGAUUGGGAGACGUUACAUGGAUGACUCCCUCAGCACCUUGCGAGAAAUCAUAAGUCUUUGGGUUCUGGGGGGAGUAUGGUCGCAAGGCUGAAACUUAAAGGAAUUGACGGAAGGGCACCACCAGGAGUGGAGCCUGCGGCUUAAUUUGACCCAACACGGGGAAACUUACCAGGUCCAGACAUAGUAAGGAUUGACAGAUUGAGAGCUCUUUCUUGAUUCUAUGGGUGGUGGUGCAUGGCCGUUCUUAGUUGGUGGAGUGAUUUGUCUGGUUAAUUCCGUUAACGAACGAGACCUCAGCCUGCUAAAUAGUUGCGCGAA